UAUAAUAAAUCCGAUAAAAGAUUACUUCAUUAUAAUUCAAUAAAUGCAUUAUGGAACAAUCUGGGAAAUUUCGGUGAGAAGCCGAUGCUGGCCCGCAACUGUAAGGGGAGUUCUUUUAGGAGAUAGCCGUCAUGGGACAUAAAAGAACAAAGAACUAAGUCAGAGUGCCAUCUGUUUUUUAUAUCUGCGCG
rnacentral:ncRNA from 20 species